ACGGGAGGCAGCAGUGAGGAAUAUUGGUCAAUGGACGGAAGUCUGAACCAGCCAAGUCGCGUGCGGGAGGAAGGCCCUACGGGUCGUAAACCGCUUUUGUACGGGGAUAAAGUCACCCACGUGUGGGUGUUUGUAGGUACCGUAAGAAUAAGGAUCGGCUAACUCCGUGCCAGCAGCCGCGGUAAUACGGAGGAUCCGAGCGUUAUCCGGAUUUAUUGGGUUUAAAGGGUGCGUAGGCGGGCUGUUAAGUCAGCGGUGAAACCCCCGGGCUCAACCCGGGGACUGCCAUUGAAACUGGCGGCCUUGAGUACGUUGGGAGUGCGCGGAAUGUGUGGUGUAGCGGUGAAAUGCAUAGAUAUCACACAGAACACCGAUCGCGUAGGCAGCGCACUACGCCGCAACUGACGCUGAGGCACGAAGGCGCGGGGAUCGAACAGGAUUAGAUACCCUGGUA
rnacentral:rRNA from 2 species